CUGAAGCUUGUGUGACAAAAUGAGACCCUGUCUCAAAAACAAAACAAACCAAAACAAAAUAAAAUAAAUAUGUACUAUAGAAGUAGAAUAGACUACCAAUGAAAAUGGGCAUGAAUGAGGUAGAGCAAAUUAAGACAAGAAAGCUUGAGAGGAAAGUUUCAGUGGCUCUGUGUAGUGGCAGAGGGGACCGGAGUCUCCAUGUGGUGAAGUAAGAGGUGGGUGCUCAGGAAUCAGGAUUCUGGGGCCUGAAAACAGUGGACAGAGCCUAGAGAAUACUCAUGAGUCAAACAGGUUUCUCAAUUGUUAUCCCAAAUCAGAGACGAGACUAGCCCUUUAUGGUUCAUUUGGCACCCAGGAGAGUGGUCAGUUCAGAAGCUUAACACUCGCCUAUUUCAAGAACCAAGGAACAUGUCCAUCCAGUCACUGAGCACAAAGACAUCAGCCUCUAAAUAUUUGAAGAUUUAUGGGAUUCACAUCUCUUCAAUAUCCAUUUCUCUCAAUACCACCAGAAGAACUCAUGGGAAACAUCUUUAAUUCAACAAUGUGUUCUCUCACUUUGAGAAAUAAUGAAUGAAAAUGUGUAAGGAAAGAUAGUCCAGGAAAUGGGAGCAAGAUAAUUAAGGAUACAUCCAUGUGUCUCAUGUGUCAUGCUUGAGACAUAAGUUGUGCAUAGAUUAUGGGGAUACAAUAUACAUGGAUGCUAUGUUAAAAUGUAAUAGUUUUGUGAGCCAUACCAGAGGUUGGCCUGGGAAUUGGAAAAUAUGAAUACUUCUGCAUGGUAGCAAACAGUCUAUUUAAAUGAAGGCAUACAAAACAAAACAAACAUUUAUUGAGAUGAUUGGAUAACAGUUUUUAUGAAUGAGAUCACGGUCUUAGCUCGAUGCUGUGGUUAGUAGGACCAGGUUACAAAUAAGCCCUUCCACUCACUUUGUUUGAAUUGGGAUUCAUUUCCCAAUUUGCUCCAAUACCUGGGCUUCCUAACUAGUCACUGUUGGAAAUUCUGCAGCAUAACCCUAGAAACAACAUCAGUGACAUUAUUUAUAUCCCAGAGAGAAAGAGUCUUUAAAUAAUGCACACAAUCCUUUGACCUGCCCUCCAUUUCCUUUUUUCUCUCUUUUUAAAACCAUUAUAUUAUUUCAGCUCUACCAAAUUUCCUGGGAAAUGAAAAGUCAAUGAAGUUUUUCAUCUGACCGGAUAACAUUUUGAACCAUUAGGCAACAAACUGAAGUUGGUUUCCAAGUGUUCACUAUUUCUCGUUGUCAUUAAUACUUUUCUAUUGAUAAUAAUAGCAUUUGUCACAUGAAACUUAAUAUUAUUCAGUACAAUAAGGCAGAAUAAAGGAAGGAAAUUACUUUAGCUAGGGGGGCAAAAGGGCUUCCUGUGUUUCUUUGUAACCCAGAAUAAACCACAUGGCACCUAUAUUA